rnacentral:rRNA from 1 species
AACGAACGCUGGCGGCAUGCCUAACACAUGCAAGUCGAACGAGACCUUCGGGUCUAGUGGCGCACGGGUGCGUAACACGUGGGAAUUUGCCUCGGGGUAUGGAAUAACUCAGGGAAACUUGAGCUAAUACCAUAUAAUGUCUUCGGACCAAAGAUUUAUCGCCCUGAGAUAAGCCCGCGUAGGAUUAGCUAGUUGGUGGGGUAAAGGCUCACCAAGGCGACGAUCCUUAGCUGGUCUGAGAGGAUGAUCAGCCACACUGGGACUGAGACACGGCCCAGACUCCUACGGGAGGCAGCAGUGGGGGAAUAUUGGACAAUGGGCGGAAAGACCUGAUCCAGCAAUGCCGCGUGAGUGAUGAAGGCCUCGG